rnacentral:sRNA from 1 species
UGAAUGAUAAACUUGUAUUCCUGUAGUA